CUCCGGGCCGGCGCUCGCCCCGCCGCCGCUAUCCCCGCGCAGCGGCGCCCGCCGCAUGGCCCAGCCCCGGCGCGGGGCGGCACCCUGCCGCGCCCCGGAGAGGUGUCUCCGAGAAUAAACUUCUCCCCGCCCACCCCCGCCGCUCUAUUCUUCCUUCUCGCUUCCUCGGUCGCUCGCUCUGCUCCCGGUGGCGCCCGCUCAGCGUCCCGGCUGCUGGCAGCUGGGCCCGCAGGCCCGGCCGUGCCCCGCUGCCCCGAGGCGGGAGGCGCGGAGGGAGGGAAGAGGCCGCCCCCGCCCCUGGCGAGCAGAUGGCGGCCGGGUGCCGUCUGGGCAGCGGCGUGCGAGGGGGCCGCGAGGUGACGGAGGGGCCUUGAGCCGCCGGGGAAAGUUAAAGCUUCUCACUGCCGCCUCCGCAGAGCUGCGCGGGGCGGGAGGGGCCGGGAGGAGAGGCGACCGCCGGAGACCCCGCGUUCCCCCUGCGGGCAGCGCGAGGCUUCGCCGCCGCUUUUCUGCGCGGCCCGCGGCUGCCCCGCGCCGCGGCGCGGUGAUGGGGCGUGGCGGCGUUGUGGAAGGGCUGCGGCUGCCCUCGGGGUGCAGCUCCUUCCCGAGGGCUGUCACCGCCCGUCCUGGCAGUUCUCGUGGGAAGGAAACAAAGCAGGGGCUACGGAUGGAGACUUUGGGCUGCAGGCAGAUGAGCCUUGAGGAGUUUAAAAGCAGGCAGUGGAGUUAUGGAGACAUGGAGUGCUCUGCAGACUUCAGGUAUGUCCAGAAGCACUUAGGCAAAGUUGCAGACAAGGAGUUUCCAAAGGUGGCUCCUGUGCGGUGGUAGUACACACAGAAAUAAAAUACCCGUGGAUUCUGUCAUGGACAGGCAGUCCUGAUGUGGCCAGGCCUGACCCUUCAGGACAAACUGGAGUGAGCAGUGGGAUCAUCUGCUCUGGAGUGGCUUAAGCCAGCUACACAAUAAUUUGGCUUGAUUUGAGCUCUAGUGCUACGUGGAUCUGGCCUUUGAAGGGAAGUGGCACGCUUAUUGUGUUAAUGCUGACAUCCUUGCCCAUGUUUAUAUUUAAAUCUCAAUAAAACAUUGCCUAAGCAUUGCAGCUAAUCACUUCCACACCUCUAUCACGUCUUCAACGUGUUAGUAGUAAGUGUUCACAUACCCUUUGCAAUUCAUCUUUCAGAUCAUUAAGCACCAUUCUCUCCCCUGCUACUGGACCAAGGGCAGCAGGAUUCUUCUUACUGUUUUCAUGUGUUGUUCUAUGUAAUUUUAUUAUGUCUCUUCCUUUUGCCCUGCCAGUAGAACCUCUCCUCAGUGCUGAUCCUGAUCCAAAUCACCCAAAACAGGAGAAAAAUAAUCUGAAAGCCAAUUUAACUCCAAGCUGGACGCUUAAAUUACAUCCUUUGAAUAAGAUGCUCUGACACAGAAGAGCAAUCGUCUUCAUAAUCCCUCCUAACUCUGAUUUCCAUCUCAGCUAUUGAUGCUUACGUCUUUCUUUCUGGCUGUUCUGGUCCAUCUGUUAGUUUGGGGACUGGCAGAUUUGCAAGACAGUGGGCCACUUUCCCGUGGGACACAGGACACUAACAGGAGAUCAGCUGUGGACCUUGCCUAGUUGCACAGAACACAGUAUUUCUGCAGCUGGUGAGGGUGGAGAGUGUGGUCAAGUUCCCUUGUGCCCCAAGUGAGGCUCUGCAGGUUAGUGUCUCAGGUCAGGCCAGUCCCCAUCUCUCUGGUGUGGGAGCUGGGCAUGCAAACCGUGCCCAAAAUGUGGCAGGGAUUAAGAACGUGAAGUUACUUGCUUUCUCCUCUAUGGAGGCUGAAGGACAGAGAUCCCUCUUGCCUCCAUUCCUGGGAUGGGAAAUACUGCCCAGAUAUUUCUGACCGGAAGAGUGCAAGAUGGGGACUGGAUUUCCAUGUAUAUACCAUCCUUUUCCUUCUGUGCUAGAUGCUGCAGCCAGAGGAUGUGCCUAUCUGUGGAGCGGCAGGUAGAGAAUUCCUGAUUCUCUGCAAUUGCCUGUGAAGGUAGAGAAACCCUGGUUUCCCUCUGGAGAUUGCUCUCCCUUGUUGGUGCAUUCAGCCUGCUCAGGUCAAGGCUGCCUGUCCACGGCAGGAUCACUGGCUAGGGAUGGACUCGUGUUCCCAGCUGGCUUGAGCAUGGCUGACUCAGAGCUGCGCAUACUCUGGAUCCCUGAGUUAGGGUUGGCCUCCAGGACAACCAGGAUUGAGCUGGUUGAGAAAUCUGAUUUCUACCCUCCCACACCCCCUGCUCUUCUUUAGGGAUUGCCAAAGGAUUGUGCGUUAUUACAUGAUGGUAAUCUUCUUUGAAGAUGUUCGUGGCAGCUCAAGUCUCCGGACUCAAUUCCGCACUGAUUUACGGAGCCUGCAAUCCCAUGGCAAGGAGGGUGAUUGCACAGGAACAGACCCUGCCUGGCUCUGUGACACCACAUUUGAGGUGACUUACAGGACGGAGGAGAUUAUUACAGAAAUUCCUGUCUUCUUUCCCGAAAGGGUCCCUGCAGACUUCCCAUCAAUUUCAAGAGCAGCAAGCACUGGAGGUGUGGAACAGUGCUGUUAUAUGUGUAUUCAUAGAUGGUGCUUCAAAAUGCUUGGCUAUCCGUGCUGUAAUUCUGUGAACUCUAAAUUAGUGCAUGAAGAGCAUAUUCAGGUCUUGUCAGGGGGGAACGCUACAGACAUUGAAAAUGUAUUAGAAUAAAGCUGACUGAGAGCACAUAUGCUGUUGGAAGAGGCAGAGUUGUAUAAAAAAUGCAAUGCAGUUGGGUACUGCAGCUGUACAAUACGGGAGCAGAGUUUGUGAACCAUACCUCAAUGUACAGUUAGAUAAUCUACUCCAUCAGGGAACUGGAAAUCCUGAAUUAUGUAUGAUAAAGCAGAGAUGUGUUUAUACAGAGAGCAGUUCCUGCAAUACUUGAUGCACUCAGUGCAAAAAAAAAAAGGAAUAACACGAGCAAGCUGGAUUCAGCCUGCUUGAGGACUUCGUUAUUGCAUUUCAUUUACACAGCCUGAUGAGCUGUGCGGUAUUUCAUUUCUUGUGCUGCUAAUAAAAAUAGACUGUAUGUAACUGAUGGCUGGAAUAUCACCGAGCCCUGAGAGCACAUAAUGAAAUGCAGCCUCAGACAACAAAAACCUACACUGAUUUUCUGUAGGCUGAAAAGAAGACAGAAAUAAUUCAUCGUGCUUUACAAUUGCAGUCAGUCAGUCAUUUAACUGUUGGGCAGUAAGUCUCUAAAUGAAAGACCAAGCAUUAAUUGAAACAACGAAACGUUUGAUUGUGAUUGGAAAAAAAACAAUAAGAAGCUGCAUUCAAUGAGCUUGUUCAAAUGUUUGUCACUGAUAAGACGCACGUUUCUAUAGAAUCAAAUCUAUUUGCUCGGGAAUUAGAUUAUUUUAGUAAAUGUAGUUGCUUAUCUGAGGUAUAAAACCAGUGAAGCUUUUUUUCUCGCUCCCAAUCAGUGCAGCACUUAAUGCUGCUCUGUGCUCAUAAACUCCUGAGACACGGAGACAAAAUCUGGGAUAAUGGGGUUUGUCACUGGCUGUGGAAGAGCUGGGAAUUCACCCUGUCUGACCUGAAAGUGAGUGGCUUUAAAGCAUUCAGCUGGAUCUCUACAGCUAUGAAAUGAGGCUCUGCGUGCUGUCUGAACUUCAGUAGUCCAGGAAAGGCAUUUCCCUCAUCUGAGCUUCUACGUGAAAGCUGUCACUAAUCUUCCAUUUCCAGGAGCAGUACUCUGACCACUGACAUAGGAGCAUUGCUUGUGAGGUCCUGUGCAUGCCAUCUCUUCUGGAAGAGAAGCCCUAGGGGUUUAAUGUGCACCUCCUUGGAUUACUGUUUUUGUUUGUUGACAAAUUGCUGGGUUUCUUUCAGACACAAUGAUCCAUGUGCCCAUUUUGUUAGCUUUACACACCUAAAUUUAGGCAAAUAAAGGCACAUGCCUAUUCUAAACAUGUCAUUUAACCUCCUUCAGAAGACAACCAGGAGACGUGGGCAUGUCCUUAGUGGUGAUUACUGCGCCUCACUUAUUUUAGAUACUUAUUUUAGGAUGGGUUUUGUUCCAUUUUUCCUUACUGUCCUAACUGGGAGUCAUACCAGACAGGAGGGACAUCCUCUUUUGAAAACCCGACUGUAACAUGCUGAAUGUUAACAACAGUCUAUUAGAAAUAUGGGUAUUAAUUUUAAUGCCUCGCUCCCAAUUAAAAUGCGCGGAUACGCAUCUGCAGAUUGUUUGUUCAUUUACUAUUUGUAGUCAUGUUGGAAAGGAAUCCUCUUGGCCUGCUGUUUGAAGGAGAGUUCAGGAAAAAAUGCGAUUAGGUAACUUUCUAUAUGUGUGUUGUGUACAGCCAAACAUGCCGUGUUCAAAUUCAUGUGACAGCUUUGUCAGCACGGAAUGCAUAGAUCUUCCGAAUCCAGUGGGGAAUUGUUGAUAUCACAGAAGAAAAUAUCUUCCAGGUAAAGUCACUGGCUUGAAAUGAAAGAGAGCCCCCUGUCUCAAUAAGGUAAGGUAAGAUUCCAGCCCUGGAGGACUGGUCGUGUCUGGCAUGUGAAAAAUCGUUUUAUUUCUUGUAAAACAAAAAGACAAGUACCACAGCCAAAGCUCCUGACAUUAGUUUAGUUGCUACUUUGUUUGAAGAAAUUCAUGAGACUUAAAGCAGUAAUUGGUAUGUCAAUAUUUAGUCCUCCGGCUUUAGCAUCAUGAAAUGCAGUUUAAUGUUUCCUUGUUAAUUUCUUCAUUUUGAGCGGUGCUAAUAGGACUAAUGACAUAACUGAUAUAUGGAAAGUUAUGAGGCUAAUUUGUGCCUUUUACUGUUAUUAGGAACAUUAUCCUUCUCCCCGUGGUGUUGCUAUUUACUUCCCAACUAGCAAUUACAAAGAGGGAUAAAUUUGGGGUAGUAACUUUCUCAUUUAAUGAGAAGAGACUGAGGCAGCUUUGCUGGUUUAAAGAAGACACAUCUGAGUAAUUACUUUCCCAGGGCAGGCAUGGCAUUAUCUGUAGGGCUACUUUCAUCCUGUUGGUAGCCUUUGAAGCCCCCGUAUUCCACAUCUUCUCACAAUAAUGAUCUGAAUGCCCAAUCUGUAAGCCUCGCACACCUAAAUUUAGGCAGCUGCAUGUGCCUUACACCUGCCAGCUUACCAACACCAGCAUUAUUCUGGAUCUUUAUCUCACUCCUUAAACUUAACAGCUGUAUUGUGCAGAAUAGUGUUAGGAACUUUUAUGGUUUGGCUUUUCUUUCCAAGCCUGGUGGGAGAACACCGGUGUGCUUGAGAGAGCUCUUCCAAGUGAGCCUGAGGGGCCAAUUCAAGUCUCUGAUGAGCAGAUAAUUGCAACUCUGAUAAUUAGCUUUUGGUUUUAAAUUUUCCGUUUCUUUAUUGUUUAUGUUUGUUCAAUCAGUUCUCAGCUAAAAAUGAAGUACUUCUGCCACUUCAUUACUGCUGACCUUCUCAUGCUAAUGACUCUGAAUGGAGAACAUUAAAAGUUGGAGUGAAUUUAACAGAAGAGAAUGUGCUCCAAGGAACAGCAGAGAAUUGAGAACACUGUAUUUUUUAAAAUUAGUCCUAUAUGCUUCAUCAUGCUGUUGCUGUCUGACUUUAAUGAGAAUGCUUACAUGAAUAAGGCUGCUGGAUCGCACCCCCGGCAUUUAAUAGAGGUACUUCUGGCUUUUCUGUUGCAAAAAUAAGAACCAGAAUCAUGGAGGGGGGUGUCGGAUGGCCAGAUCUCCAGGCAAGUGGAGGUUGCAGCUGACCCUCUCUGCACGUUUGGGCCACCAGUUCUCAUCAGCCGGAGAUACAAAGAGGUUUGAAGGUAAAAUACGAUGACCUCAGCUUCACAACUGUGGCUUCAGAGUAAAGCUUUCAAGUUUUCAUCCCAUUGUCCAGGAAGACAUCCUUUACUAAAGGGAAUCGGCAGGGAAUUCAGGGAGUUUGAGUUCGUUUUUGUGUGUGUGUGAGGGGUGCAUUUCUUUGCUCUUUUCUUCGUCUUAGUUUCUUUUUGUUAUUUGUGUUCAGUAGCACAAUGUCACAACAACAGGGUGUGCAAAUAUUACAAAAGGCACAUCUUUUUCUAAGCGAGUAAUGCAUAAAUAUAUUACAUACACACAUGCAACAGGGUGUUUAUAUAUUACUUUGCCUCUGUCAUCUGUUUCUCACGUGCACACACAUAACCGUAAGCUUUAUGGUGACAAUAACUGCUUCAAAAAAUUAUUUCUACCAAAGACGAUCUCUGUCUAACAUCAUCCCCAGUUUUCAGCAGUGCAGAAGACAAAGAUGUACAGAAUGUGUUUCCUGGGGGCCUCCAGUGCAGUUUCCAAUGUAGAACUUCAAAAUAUUUCAGAUGUCAGAGCUCCCUCAAGUGGGAAGAUGAGGAAAGCAAACUGGUGCGAGGAGGAGGUUGCCUACAGACCAACCAAAGCUUCUAAAACUCAAAAAGAAAACAUUUAUAGGAGACAUUUGUUCAUGUUGGGUUGGGCGGCAUGGAUUAUGCAACUGCCAUGGAGAUUUGUUAUAUUCACUUCCUAUCAAUACCAUUCUCUGAGAUCCAAUAGCUGAAGCAAAUAUAACACAAAAUACAAGCCGUUUGUUUCAAUGUAUGUGAACAGGUGCAGGUUUGCAGUCCUAAAACAGAUUUGCAGUAUCUUUGUAUACCUACAGGAGCUGCUGCCUCUUUUUGCAGGCUUCCAGGUAUGACAGUGAAUGAAGACGUGCCCACAUGGGUAACAAAGUGUAACCCAGGCUAAGUAGCACAUACACAAUUAUUCAGCACAGAUAUUCAGCACAAUUAUUCACGAGGUUUCCAGUAUUUCUAAUUCUGGUUGCAGUUCUUUCAGUGGCUUUCAUAUCCCAGAAAUCUUUGUUGUUUCUGGGGAAAGGAUACAUUGUGACAUGCAUUUUAUAAAUAUCUUAAAUUGCUUUUCCUGAAUAUGGUUUCAGCUGUCACGUGUAUUAAUAAUGAUUAGACUGACAAAUUAAUAGCAUUACACUGAUAAAUUCAUACGAGAAGAAAAUUAAUUAAUGGAAUGUAAUGUUCCUUUCUAACCAACUUAUGCUUACAUAGUUGACAAUGUUAAGUAGUGAUUCAAGUUGUAGAUUUAGAAAUGGGCUGGCAGCAGAUGAGCAGUGCUGGUGAACCAAGGAGAAGAGUCAGCGUGAUGGCUGCAGUUUGAUGGUGGCUCAGCCUAUGAGAAUCUGCAUCAGAGGCAAUGGUAUCAGAUACAACAACAGCACUACAUAAAUCAUGUGCAUUGUUAUGCAUUCUCCAGGUACGUAAGAUGUUGCCUGGCAACUGUGUGUGUCCUUGCUCUGCAAAGUAAGUGAUUUUAAUUAUUUCUCUGAUACUGCGUGAUCAUGGAAUUUAGAAAACUGGCUCUGCAUGAUCACUUUUAAAAUGGCAUUAAUUAAAAACUAAAGUUCCUUUCUCCAGUCAUCAAUGUGCCUUGUCUUAAUCAAGCAUCUUGUGCUUCUGAUGUUCCUAAGCAUACAUUACAGUAUUGCAGUUCAAUUGCAAUUAUACAGAAGCAGUUUUCUUUCCCUUGAGUUUUCAGGAUUUAUAGGAUUUAUAAAACAUCCUUCACGGAAUAAAAGGAUGUUUUUUUUUUCUCUGGCAGUUUAUUCGUUCAUCUCUGUGCCCACGGAGACAAGAAAUUGAGGCAUUUUGUUCUCCUGUUUCUUGGACCUCCACUCUGCAUAAGGGAAGCUACAAAUACUCAGGCUGUCUUGUUGCAUGUCAGUCAUUUACAACAUGCUUCAUAUGGAUUACAUGAGCUAAAUACACUCUGAAAAUUAGAGCUGAUAUAUACUAUGUUGCCAGGUUUCUGUAAACUAUAAGUAGCUACUGCACUAUUACUUAGAAAGGCUAAGAAUAGGACAUGUUAGUAAAACACUUUAAAAUCACAGACCUGAUGGACAUUCCAGUCUACGGUCUUCAGUAUGCUGGCCUCUGUUGGAGAGCACACUCAGAGGAGGAACUGAAAAUCUCAUGAAUCUUUACAGGCACAGCUUCAGCAGGAAGGGGUGACACUGCAUUGUCACCAAUUCCCUGUACCACGCUGGCAGGACACCCAGCAGUGUGGAGCCACCCCACUGUUCCAGCCCACUUUGAUGGGGUGAAUUAGAAGUAGCUCUCCUAUUCGUAGAAUCAUAGAUCAUAGAAUGGCCUGGGUUGAAAAGGACCACAAUGAUCAUCGAGUUUCAAUCCCCCUGCUAUGUGCAGGGUUGCCAACCACCAGAC